GAUUGAAGAACGUAGCGAAAUGCGAUAAGUAAUGUGAAUUGCAGAAUUCAGUGAAUCAUCGAAUCUUUGAACGCACAUUGCGCCCCCUGGAAUUCCGGGGGGCAUGCCUGUUCGAGCGUCUCAGGGACGAACCCUCGCGCGGGUGUACGCACGGUCGUGGCUGCGGUGGCGUGCCCGAGGCGGCGGCCACCGCGCUGGAAUCCAUGGGCGGACGCCUGCCGCGUGGCCGAGCGUGAUAUGACGCAUUGGCGCUCGCACGCGGAGAGGCUGCCAGCCCUGGCCCGUCUGUCGGGCGGGGGAGAGCAAGACACGUGAACUCCUCGAAUCAGGUAGGGAUACCCGCUGAACUUAAGCAUAUCAAUAAGCGGAGGA
rnacentral:misc_RNA from 1 species